UAGUCAUAUGCUUGUCUUAAGGAUUAAGCCAUGCAUGUCUCAGUACAAGCAUCCUUGUACCGUGAAACUGCGAAUGGCUCAUUACAACAGUUAUAGUUUAUUUGAUCGUGCGGAGCUACGUGGAUAACCGUAGGAAUUCUAGAGCUAAUACAUGCACCGUCGCCGAAGAUCUUUGGUUAGACUUCGGCGGGAUUUAUUAGAUCAAAAACCAAUCGCUUCUUUCGUUUUUUCGAGUAGAGGCGUGGUGGGAUGAAUCAUAAUAACUUAACCGAAUCGUAUGGCCAACAUUAGGCCGACGAUAAAUCAUUCAAAUUUCUGCCCUAUCAACUUUCGAUGGUAGGGUAGUGGCCUACCAUGGUGUUGACGGGUGACGGAGAAUUAGGGUUCGAUUCCGGAGAGGGAGCCUGAGAAACGGCUACCACAUCCAAGGAAGGCAGCAGGCGCGCAAAUUACCCAAUCCUGAUUCAGGGAGGUAGCGACAAGAAAUAACGAUAGUGGGCUCGUUCGAGUCCGCGCAUCGGAAUGAGGAUAAUUUACACCCCUUCUCGAGGAUCCAUU
rnacentral:rRNA from 1 species